rnacentral:rRNA from 1 species
GACGAACGCUGGCGGCGUGCUUAACACAUGCAAGUCGAACGGAAAGGCCCCUUUGGGGGUACUCGAGUGGCGAACGGGUGAGUAACACGUGAGUAACCUGCCCUUGACUUCGGGAUAACUUCAGGAAACUGGGGCUAAUACCGGAUAGGAAUCCUUGCUGCAUGGUGGGGGUUGGAAAGCUUCGGCGGUUUUGGAUGGACUGGCGGCUUAUCAGCUUGUUGGUGGGGUAGUGGCUUACCAAGGCUUUGACGGGUAGCCGGCCUGAGAGGGCGACCGGCCACAUUGGGACCGAGAUACGGCACAGAUUCCUAAGGGAGGCAGCAGUGGGGAAUAUUGAACAAUGGGCGGAAGCCUGAUGCAGCAACGCCGCGUGCGGGAUGACGGCCUUCGGGUUGUAAAACGCUUUCAGCAGGGGCGAAGCUUGUGGUGACGGUACCUGCAGAAGAAGCACCGGCUAACUACGUG